CUGGCAGCGAGCGCAGAGAGCGCGCGGCGGCGGCGGCGGAGCUGGGCGUGGCAGGUGGACCGCACCGCACCGCACCGCACCGCACCGCACCGCACCGCGCGGCUCCGGCAGCGCCGAGGGUCUCCGUGCCGCGGGGGGGGCGCGGCAGCGGCAGUCGGCGGGGCUCGGCGGCUGUGGGUGCACGUGUCGUGUCCUCCCACACGCACAAAAUUUGCUGUGUUUUUUUUCUUCUUCUUCUCUCCAGCGUGAGCAGUGGGGGGAAAUUUUUUCAUUUUUCACUGCAGUUUUUAAUUUUUCAGUUCCAAGGGUUGCGUUAUUUUUCAAGCCCCGAAUUGCGUAGCGACCAGCGGAGCAUGCGAUGCCACAUGAGCUGAUGCACAAAGCUGUCUGCAUCCUGAAGAAGACCACAGAAUGCCUGGGAAAGGAGAACUCCAAAAAAGACCUCCAGUUCGAGAUGGCUCCCCAAACACAACUUGAGCAUACAGUUGCCUUCAUAGAAGAGGUCUCUAGAGCCAACCCAGAUGCGGUGAUAGGUGUUGUACCUCUUGUCCAGUUCACGUCAUCACUCAUGAAGGCUUACAGCGCUAUUGGAGUUUGCAGUGUACAAGAUGCUCUUUUUCAGGGGGAAAAACUGUGAUGUGAGCAUCUGUGUACUGAAGGAAUCCUCUCUGGCAGGAUAGGAACUGAAUGCAGAGUGUUAGACUGUUAUUUCCUGAAUGUUCACUAUACAAAAGAUGAUACAUGGGGGUCAGUCCAGUUGGUGGGAUUUGUUACAAAUUGGAUAUACUUUAGAAUCAUCUYAAAAGUGAGUUAUAUUAUAAGAUAAUUCAUAAGCUAGAAUGCUUAGAGAUAACAGUUUUAAAAUCUAUUUUCUUUGUGUUCAUAUGUGAAAAGUAACUUUGAUUGAAAUCAUGACUACAUUUUUAAAAAAUUGCUUCUUUUCCUUCUGCUUUUGUUACUUCUAGUCUAGGCUAUAUU
rnacentral:lncRNA from 1 species